GAGGCAGAGAGGAGAGACCGCAGAGACAGAGGGGCAGGUGGGCUGGCCCAUGGCGGAGGCCUCGCUCCCACAGCUGAGGGGAGAUGCCGAAGCCACACCUUGCCCCAGUGUCCUGGAACUGGAGGAGCUCCUGAGGGCAGGGAAGUUUUCUUCCAGCCGCGUGGACGAAGUUUGGCCCAACCUUUACAUAGGAGAUGCGGCCACGGCAAAUAACCGCUUUGAGCUAUGGAAGCUGGGCAUCACCCACGUGCUGAAUGCUGCCCAUGGGGGCCUCUACUGUCAGGGAAGCCCUGACUUCUACGGCAGCACUGUGAGCUACCUGGGGGUGCCAGCCCACGACCUCCCUGAGUUCGACAUCAGUGCCUACUUCUCCUCUGCAGCUGACUUCAUCCACCGUGCCCUCAGCACACCUGGGGCCUUGGGACAUUGCCAUCUGGUACCUAGAUGUCUGGCUUCUGUCCCAAAGUAUUUUCGAAUGGAAAAAAUCUUCUAAUACCAGGGGUACAACAAAGGAUCCUGGGGAAGCUGCUUCGUGUUCAUCCUGGCCAGGGUCCUGGUGCACUGCGUGGUAGGGGUGAGUCGCUCUGCCACGCUGGUCCUGGCCUACCUCAUGCUGCGCCAGCAGCUGUCCCUG